UGAUUGCUGAUUAUAGGCCAUGAGGUUC
rnacentral:piRNA from 1 species